GAACGCGAAGAACCUUACCAAGACUUAAAUGGGAAUUGACAGCUAUAGAGAUAUGGUUUUCUUCGGACAAUUUUCAAGGUGCUGCAUGGUUGUCGUCAGCUCGUGCCGUGAGGUGUUAGGUUAAGUCCUGCAACGAGCGCAACCCUUGUCACUAGUUGCCAUCAUUAAGUUGGGGACUCUAGUGAGACUGCCUACGCAAGUAGAGAGGAAGGUGGGGAUGACGUCAAAUCAUCACGGCCCUUACGUCUUGGGCCACACACGUAAUACAAUGGGCGAUACAGAGGGCAGCUACACAGCGAUGUGAUGCGAAUCUCGAAAGUCGUUCUCAGUUCGGAUUGGAGUCUGCAACUCGACUCUAUGAAGCUGGAAUCGCUAGUAAUCGCGUAUCAGCCAUGACGCGGUGAAUACGUUCCCGGGUCUUGUACACACC
rnacentral:rRNA from 1 species